rnacentral:rRNA from 1 species
AGAGUUUGAUCCAUGAAGGGGAUGAACGCUGGCGGCGUGCCUAACACAUGCAAGUCGAGCGAUUCUCUUCGGAGAAGAGCGGCGGACGGGUGAGUAACGCGUGGGUAACCUGCCCUGUACACACGGAUAACAUACCGAAAGGUAUGCUAAUACGGGAUAAUAUAUAAGAGUCGCAUGACUUUUAUAUCAAAGAUUUUUCGGUACAGGAUGGACCCGCGUCUGAUUAGCUUGUUGGCGGGGUAACGGCCCACCAAGGCGACGAUCAGUAGCCGACCUGAGAGGGUGAUCGGCCACAUUGGAACUGAGACACGGUCCAAACUCCUACGGGAGGCAGCAGUGGGGAAUAUUGCACAAUGGGCGCAAGCCUGAUGCAGCAACGCCGCGUGAGCGAUGAAGGCCUUCGGGUCGUAAAGCUCUGUCCUCAAGGAAGAUGAUGACGGUACUUGAGGAGGAAGCCCCGGCUAACUACGUGCCAGCAGCCGCGGUAAUACGUAGGGGGCUAGCGUUAUCCGGAUUUACUGGGCGUAAAGGGUGCGUAGGCGGUCUUUCAAGUCAGGAGUUAAAGGCUACGGCUCAACCGUAGUAAGCUCCUGAUACUGUCUGACUUGAGUGCAGGAGAGGAAAGCGGAAUUCCCAGUGUAGCGGUGAAAUGCGUAGAUAUUGGGAGGAACACCAGUAGCGAAGGCGGCUUUCUGGACUGUAACUGACGCUGAGGCACGAAAGCGUGGGGAGCAAACAAGAUUAGAUACCCUGGUAGUCCACGCUGUAAACGAUGAGUACUAGGGGUCGGAGGUUACCCCUUUCGGUGCCCAGCUUACGCAUU